rnacentral:tRNA from 1 species
GGGCGGUUAGCUCAGCUGGUUAGAGCGCCACGUUGACAUCGUGGAGGUCACAGGUUCAAAUCCUGUAUCGCCCACC